rnacentral:SRP_RNA from 1 species
UCGGGAGUCGGGUGGACGUUUGCGUUCGUUUACCUGGUCAGGUCCGGAAGGAAGCAGCCAAGGCGUGUUGCGACGGGUCGCUCGGCUCCUUUUUC